ACUAGAUGAUGAGUCCCGAAUAGGACGAAAUGCGCAUCCGGGAU
rnacentral:hammerhead_ribozyme from 1 species